CAAUGCCUAUGUUCAGUACACUUAGCACGUGAUUUUCAUGACCACAUAUUGUUAUUGUUGGCGCUAGCGUGGAUUUUCAAAGCGACACGUCUAAAAUGGUGGUUGUGUCUUUGUGGCAGAGAUAAAGUGGUGUAUAUAAGGUCACAGAUGGGUCCACGUGUUUUCAGAUUUGUAGCGUAAAAAGGUUGUUGCCAAGUGACGAAGCUCAAAAUAAAAAAGACACAGAUCACGGAUGGAUGUGUUUUACAGAUAUGGAGUGUUAAAGUUUUAGUGGCAAAGAUCAAGAACAUACAUACAGCUCAUUGACGAAGGUGUUGUCAGAUCUGGAGCACAAAUGGGUAACCAUGGAAACGUACAUCUACAUGGAGGCAACGGUAUAAACGGACGACAGACGUUCAGAUAUACAAAGGUUUACAGCAGAUGAAGAAUAUAAGGUGUGUCUGUUUACCUUUUCUUCCUUUUGGCAACUUUAUAUUAUGUUCGUUUCUGUUUUUACAUGUGCAUUUCUCUAUCUAUACACUCAACAGGGUUACCAUCGAAACGUACCUCCUCAUCUAGGCAAUGGUAUAAACUGAUGAUCGACGUUCAAGUGUCCAGCAGAGAGAGGAAUCCAGCUGUCGAUCAAGUGGUUCAUGCUUAGCUUUAGACAAUGUAAGCCUUGCUAAUACCUAAAAUGAAUGUCAGGCAAAACUGAAACAAAUGCAAAAUAACUGGUUGCACUUACAAAUCAACUAAUCUAGCUUGUACAUUUUUGCUUCGUAAUACUGUGUGUUCAGUGUUUACUGUUUUGUCAGUCAGGGAUUUGUUUACAGUGUCUGGUUGGUUGUGUUUGUGGUGGUGUUUCUGGGUGUUUGUGGUGGUGUUUUUGUUUGGUGGUUUCAAUGUGGUCUUCUCGGUUUUAUUCUUGAUGAUUAUGUUGUUUUGUUGAAAAAGGGUAUUUUGUGCGUGUUGUUUGUUGUAUUGGGUUCUUCGUCAUGGUGUUUCUGCAGUUGCCAGUGUAUUAUUAUACGCUUUGUACCUGCACACAAUUAUUAGAAUAAGUUCAAUACAUGUAUUGCAUUGUGUUAUGAUAACGUUACUUGUUUAGCAGAUUUAAGACAGCCGGAAAGACAUAUCAAGAUAUAUGCAGACGAACAGGCAUCAUGUGCAGACGACAGUCUGGACUGGGUAAGGGCGCAAUUGUUUUAUUUCUGCUUUUUAUUCCUUUUGUUUUGCAUUGUUUUUUUUCCACUAGAAUAUUGGGGUACUAAAGAACGAAGACGCAGACGGAUAUUGAAGAUGCAUACCAGACAAAAUGUGGGUUAUUGUUUAUCAUAAACAGGUACGUAUGUUGCUUUUUAGAUUAUACUAUUUUGUAUGCAUCUCUCUGCAGAAUUUUCAAGUUGAAUACAAGCAGGUGUCAAGAUGUCGCAUUGCAGAUGACGCAAUGGUCUAGUGGAUGGUGAAGAUAGUGCGGCUAAUGUUGACUGUACAGACACGUGUGAAGAUGUCAUGCUGUAUAUGUGACAGUGGUUUAGUGGACGACGCGGCUUGGUUCUUCUUCUCGGGCGCACUGAGAAAGCAAAGGUUGAUUUUCCUCUCGGAGUAAUUCAAGAUCAUAGGAAUGGUGCACAUAGAUCCUGGUUUUGGUGAAAGAAAUACACGGACUGUCCGACGAGAAGCUCUUACUAUUUGACGAGAUACUCAAGCAUCCGACGAGAAGCAGUUUUCUGGACUAUACACGAAGAAAAUGUUAGUUGAUGGAACAAUAGUGGCAGUAGAACUAACUUGCUGGUACCCUAAUGAAGCCGGUCACCAGAUGUGCAUUGAUACCCUAUCGAACCCUACGUUAACAUGGUAAUCAGCCGUUAUC
rnacentral:lncRNA from 1 species